GACGAACGCUGGCGGCGUGCUUAACACAUGCAAGUCGAGCGGUAAGGCCCUUUCGGGGGUACGACGAGCGGCGAACGGGUGAGUAACACGUGGGUGACCUGCCCUCCAGCUCUGGGAUAAGCCUGGGAAACCGGGUCUAAUACCGGAUAUGACUCCAUGACGCAUGUUGUGGGGUGGAAAGCCUUGUGCGGCUGAGGAUGGGCCCGCGGCCUAUCAGCUUGUUGGUGGGGUGAGG
rnacentral:rRNA from 1 species